AAUGAGCUUCCUCCUCAUUAAAGACAUUAAACUCUAUUUAAUAUUCCACCUCUACAGAGGGACUGUGCUGGACUUUGUUCAUAGACUUGUCAAUAAGCCUCUCACUAAGUGCUUACAGGGUGAAGUAACAGCAGGAGUUCAAACCCUGGAAGUCAUUUCUAUGUUGUUGGAAUCAAACAAUCCACUUCCAGGGUUCAGCUUUGGCCUCUUCUCUGCUGAAAACAUGGAGCUCUUCUAUUUCCAGUGUCAGUGUCUCAGUGCUUUGUUCUUCAUGUGCUGGUAGUGUUUUAUUUCCAGCACCAUGGUGCAGCGUCUGCAUCAGUGAGGGUCUCAGAAUGUGUGCUAUCAGGAUGAACAGAUCAGAGGAUGCAGAGUCAAAGGUGGAGUCAGUGAUUGUGAUCAACACAGUUUGUGUCAGAUUCAGUGAAUAUCUCCUCACAGUCUGCUGGCUGUCUGUUCUAUGUUCAAACACAGUCCUGUUCUGGAAAUGGAGCGAACAAUGAGGCUCAGAGCGACAACACAGCACCAUUCCAGAGAGGCCUGUGCACAGGAGAGCUGGUGCAUGUGAAAGCUAGUGCAUGUGAAAGCUAGUGCACGUGAAAGCUAGUGCAUGUGAAAGCUAGUGCACACUCAUUCUGGUACACAGAGAGAUGGGGUCAGUAGGAGCCAGAAGGAAAAUACAUUUGGAACAUGCUAACUAGCUAAAAGUGCUGCCUCCCUAAAUAUGCCACAUAGCUACAAAUGUGAACUAUCUACACUACCAGUCAAAAGUUUGGGGUCACUCAGAAAAUUUCAUGCUUUACAUGAAAACUGACACUUUUAUUCAUGUGCUAUGCAGAGCAUGUUUAUUUUUGAUAUAGAAGACAUGCAACUUCUCUCAGUUAAAGUAGUUUAUUCUGCAAUGCCAAGUAGCUUGAUAUCAAGGACCAUUACUGUUCAGAGGACUAUAGUGAACAAAAGUAUUAAUCUGAAGGCAUCUUCCCAGUAAUGGAUGGAAUUCACAGUGUAUACAGUGUAUGUAUGAAAAUGUGCAACAAUCUCAUUGGUCAAAAACUGAUGAAGAGGAACCAUUUUUAACUCAGUCUUCUCAUUUGUGCACAGGCGUGUCCUUAGCCUCUUGGCACAUGAUCCCUCCAAUCAGAAGAUCCCGGAUACUGUAAAUGAGACCCUCCCAAUUAUGAUUCAUAAUGUAUCUUUCUGUACUGUUUCCUUCUCCAUUAACUGCCAACUUCUGUCUCAGUCAUAAAUUAUCACAUCUUCUAGUUGACACACCAACUCCAGUCAUCAGUAUUUUAUCAGUUUUUAGACACAGCAGCUUUUGUUCUAACAAGAAGUCUUCAGGACAUGGAGCGGCCUUCAGUACUGAGUGAGUGUGUGAGAACAUGCAGUGUAUGUGCAUGUAUGUGUGUGUCACCAAUGAGUUGGUGUGUUUUAGUGUAGGCUGCUUGCAUUUUACCAUCAUCUGACCUGGUUCAUUUCAUCUUUGUUUUAUCCCAAUUCACACAAUGUGGGAUAAUGUUCGAGACCCUCACAUCCUUCAAAGGAUAACACAACUCUUUAUUAGCACGUAAGCAGUGAUUAAAUCAAUAUUAAGCCAGCAGUAUAGUAGAAUAGAAAUAAUAAAAAUAAUAAAUCCUAACAGCAAACAACUGCACAACGGUUUUCUAAUCAUCAAUUUGCCUUCCAACACCAUUAGCUAAUGUCAUAGUUUCUCUGAUGUCCGCGAUGUUCAGGUGAAGGAGAAAUGUACGUGACACUGACUUUCUUUAUAAGUUUUUUAUUAAAAGAAAGAACAGCAUCAGUACAGACAGAAGUUGUCUGGAAGGAGCCCGCCAAUUGAUUCCUUCUCGAACCAUGGGCUAGUGAACAGCUUUAUACCCUAUCUAUCUGGUAAGGAUCGAAUUACAACAUCUGGUUCAUGUCUGAAGACCCCUUACUCAAAAACAAGACCACCCUUGAAUAGAACCCCUCUGCUCUGAAAUCCCAAAGGAACACAUCCAUCUUCUAGCUGGACAUGGGUGCCUCAAAGACAACAAGUGAUCUGUUCCUGAGACUGAAAAACACAUUCCAACGGCAUGGGUAGAAUUAGUCAUGCAUGUAAUGCAGGUUCCAUCUGUGGUCAGAGACAAAGAACCACACCAGAGCAGACACUACAGAUAACAAGCAACUCCUAUCAGAUACCAGAACAAACAAAACAGAUUCCAUUCUACUAACUUAUUAAUUAAUACAUGUCUCAGAUCAGAUACUACACUAACACAAUGUAGCAUUAGAACAUAGAAUAAAUUUGCUAACGACUAAAAUCAACAAACUGCUUAACUAUGCUAAGUAGCUACGUAUGCUCACUUAUGGAAUAAAUUUCCUAUCAUAAUUCAAGAGCAUUUUAAAUUGAUUUGAGGGCAGCAUUUAUCGAUUUCAUUCUCAGAUUUUGUGAUAUUGUCUCUCAGAACUCUGCUCUUGCACUCAAAUUUACUCUGUACGUGCUCAAACUGUGUCCUCCACUCGGUUACGAUGCUGCUCGCACAGAUUUCCUGCGCUCAAACUCAAACUCUUCUUCUUGCUCUCACGGAACUUCUGCUCACGGAUCUCUGCUCUGCUCUCGGAUUUUUUGUGUAUCAACGCUGUCAACCAAUAGAAGGCCGGCGAGCUUUGACCAGUCACAUUAUCCCUGUUUGUAUACGGGUGCGUUCGCUGUUUUUCUGAGGAACGUCGCAUAAGGGCAGGCAUUCUUUCAACAGGUUUUAUCCACUCCCUACCUCCGGGGCUGUAAUAAAUGGGAUUUCUUUUAUUUUUUUGACCACUGUUGGAAUAAAAUAUCAUUCAAUACAUACAACAGCAUCCGAGCUUCUCAUUAAAAUGGCUCUAUUGUAUAAUAAUAGCGGCAUCGAACACUGCUCUUUGAGGUGUGCUGGUGGAGAAAACAAGAAAACAACUUUCUGUACAUUUCUGCUACUUUCUUAGGAUACAGAAGUACUAGGCUGUGGGGCAUGCCUUGAUAAUAACCCUAGGAAAAGAGUUUAUUUUGUGAGCCGGCACAAGGGGAUGUGGCAUUUAAUUUGUGUUUUUCUUUAUAUUUUUGUUUGUUUUGCAUGUAUUUAUGAUUUAUUUGGGGUUUUUGUGUAUGUAUUGGAUUUAUUUGGGUUGCUGUGUUUUUUGGGUUAAUUUGCAUGUGUAAUUAGUUGUUGCCACCUACCUGCCAUUGCCGUGACUACCCUGAAUCACGUUUUUCCCCUAAUCACUGAGUCCUGGGCAAUCAUGUUCAGCUGUGCAUGAUUGAAGCCCAGGAGAACAAAGCAGCUGAGCAGGAGCAGCAGAGGGACGCUGAGGGAUGCUGAGAGGCCGACACCGAGGGAAGAGCAGUAGAGGGGCGCCAAGAGCGCCGAGGGCGAGACGCCGGGACCACGAGAGACACCGAGACCACGAGAGACACCGAGACCAGAGCAGCACACCAGGAGCAGUGGAGAGACACCAGGCCACAUUGCAAUCGGGCUAAAGGGGCAGAAAGGCACACGCACUGGAGACCGCAAGUGUUACGACGUGAUUCACACGCAGUGGCAGGGAGAAUUCCCUGCCUGUCGUGUAAGUAUCGAGCGAGAGAGUAGUAGCACUUGGCGGACACGAGCUAAGCUAACGCUGUUGUCGUAUGAGAACGCAGACUGCCGCUUGUUGUUGUGUGUUUACCUAAGGGUUCCCAGCGUGCCAGAGGAGCGGCUAGCUGGGUAGAAGUCUGAGAUGAGUGAAGUGGCGUCGUGAGCGGACACACGUAAGGGCAGCGGUUUCCUUCACCUCCGGUGCGACCUGGUGCGUGUGACCGAGGGGACCUCACCGACCUGGAUCGGAAGGCUGCCUGUAUCCCCAACUGCACUUUAGCCCCCUGCUCAAGGACGGUGCCAUUUUUAGUUUGUUUUAAGUGAUUCUUCUUCGUAUCGUGCAUUUUUGGCCCACUGUUUUUAUUGUAUUUUAAUGGACUUUUAGGAUAAAACCAUAUUUUUAUUCAUGGGCAUUUUUAACUGGUUUAAUCAUAUUUUAUAUUAAAUCUUAAUGAUUGCA